UUACUUCAGAAGUUUUAUUUUGUAAUUAAUUCCUUUUUACAUCCUUUAACUGUCACAAGUCCAAGAAAUCUUGCAUUUUCUCUAAUGUCAUCUGUAUUUUCACUGAGCACAUGUCUUUAAUACCCUACAUUAUGAAAGAUGUACUUACUUUCUAAGUCUUUUUCUUUUUUUCUUUUCUUUUUUUUUUUUUUGGUCCCAGGAAUUGAAUUCAGGACCUUGCGCUUGCCAGGCAGGUGUUGUACUUUUUAGCUCUUCUGUGGAGACUGAUACAUCCAUUGUGAGGGGAGGCAUUUGCUCAAUUAUUUGGCUCUGUUCCUUUCCUCUGAAUUGUAGUACAGUAUCGUAACCUUUCAAUGGCUUUUCUUUGCAGUGGGAUCCAAAUACCUCUUCGCAGUAUUCUGAGAAGCAGAAGUUAAAGAAUGUCCAAAAUAGUUCCUGCUAUGUCAUGUCUUAUUUUUCACUUUGAGAAAGUGUCUUGCUAAAUUUCCCAGAUACAAUGCAUACCUUGAAUUUGGGAUCCUUCUGCCUCAGUUUCCCAUAGCCCUGUUAUACAAGGGCCUCACUAUGUUGUUCGGGCUGAUCUUGAACUCACUAUACAGCUCUCUCUGUAAUCCUCCUGCCUCAGCUUCCAGAGUGCUGUGAUUAUAGGCACACAUCACCACAUGCAGCUACUUUUCUCUUUUGUGUAUACUUUAUUAGUAUGAAUGGAUUCUUUUGUGGAUUUGACUUAUUCUAAUUAAAUCUAAGUAUAGUGUUUUAAAAUAAAAUUGUUACACUUGGCCAA